CCCCUACAGUGAUCCCGUGGACAAGAACCUGGUUGGGAGUGGGGUGAAGGUUCCCUCUGGGCAAAGGGGAGCUGAAAUCCCUCAGUGUCCUGGCAUUUAAACAAUGAAAGCUUCAAACCCUGCACGGGUGUGGGCUGAGGUGCAUCAGCAGAAGGUUGGGCUGGACAGAGGUGGCAGGUUUGUAUAAUUUUUGGUGGUUCCCAGAAUGGGACCAAGUCCUGUCCCACCCCACGUCUGUGUCAGGCUCUGGGAGGGAGUUUGGGUGUGGGAGGGAGAGGGGUUGCGCUCUGGGAAAGACUUUGUGUGCAGGGUCUGGGCGUAGUCAGAGGGUUGGGGUGCAGGAGUGGGUGUGGUGGGCAGGGUCGUGGAGGGAGUUUGGGUGCGGAUAUGGGGUUUGACUUGGAGCAGGGUGUGAGAGGUGCAGGAGAGGGUGAGGGGUGCAGCAUUUACCUCGGGCAUUUCACAAAAGCAAUGCGCACCCCUCUCUGGAAGCAGCCUCUAAGCAGGAGGGCUGGGAGUGUCUCUGUGCACCGCUGCCAGAAGACUCCACCCCACAGCUCCCAUUGCCACAGUAGGCAGAGUUGGCACUCGGGGAGACCCCCCCACACCUCAGGGGCUGCUGUGACGUGCCAGCUGCUUCUGGGGGUGGCGUGCCACACGGAGCGAGGGUGAGCAGGAAACUGCCUUAGCCCCCUUGUGCUGGUGGUGGUGGUGGCAGGGAUCUCUGGGCCCUUUUAAAUUGCCCAUAGAUGGCAGGCAGGACCAGAGGGGACACUCCCAAGGCCAAACAUUGCUUUGCACAAUGAUAAAUCUUGGAAGAGGACAGAAAUGAAAUGGCAGCAGAACCUAAGGAAUGAAAAGCCUCCGAAUUCUUGUGUGUGCACUGACUCCGAACAGAAACUGUAAUUUGGCUCGCUUUGUGUCUGCGGCCGGUAAAAUAUCAAGGCAAAAUCAUUCCAGUGAUUGUGACACUGGGUUUGAGGAGGCUUUUGUCUUAUUAAAAUAUAACUAGCAUGUUAGGUCCUGUCUUGUUCAUGGAUGGGAAGAUGUUCUUUUUCAGGGAUUUCAGACGAGAACUGGGGCACAACACCUGGUUUGUUUAGGCCCCAAAAAUGGAGGCAGGAACCUCUUCUCUCCUGCUGGCCAAGAACCCCAGACAUUGAAUGACCUGAAUCAAGUGCUCUCAGAUGAGCUCCAGACCAACAACAGUGACAGUAAUUAUUCAGCAAGUAUUUGAGGAGAACUGCAAUGUUAGAGAGAAUCAUGAACUGCUCAGAGAUAAUUAAUGCCGAGAAGCAGCAAAACUCAUCAAACACAGAACUGGUUCUGACUUAUUUCCUUGGUCUUAAAAGAGAACAACAAGGAGCUGAGUCUCCUCCCUGUUAAUAAGCCCCUGCUCAGCCAAUCAGGGUAGAGACGGAGGACGGGAGGCUGAGGGUUCUCACCAGAGAACCCAAAGGGUGGCCCAGGUCACUGGUGGGGAUCACUGCCCGAGCCCUAGUUCAGCCUCACAUUUUUGGGUGGGGACCUUCCAGAGUGAGAGCUGCAGAGCACUGCCCCGCAAAACACACACACACACACACACCCUCCCUCUCCUGCUGUUGGGAGGGGAACAGGGGAAAGAAGAAAAGCAAGAGACGAAGAGAAAGGAGGGAGGGAGGGAUGGAGGAAAAGGUGACACAAAAAGGACAAAUCCUAAUGUCCCCAGUGAUUCUAAGGGACAAAAUCCCAGGUGUGGAAUAAAAUUCUGCCUCCUUAAGCUCGUGUUUUCCAUGCCUAGAAUUCAACUGUCACCAGAUGGAUCAGACUGAACAGGUUUCUUACCAUCUAAACAGGGACGUCUGUUUUCUAGUAAAAUCACUAAAAGGGAAGGAGAAAACUCGAAAGAGGUUCCUCCUGGCGCUCACGUCCAUGAACCUGAAUACUCUCUCAGUCCUCAAAGAGAGACCUGGAGAAGGAGACUUGCUGAAGCAAAGCCACAGGGGUCUCUGAGGUUUCCCUGGUCCCUCGCCCCUGUCCUGCCUGGCUGAUGUCAGCAUCUCUCUGUGAGGUCACCACCUCCCCACCACCUUGGACCAAUAGUCUGAGGUCCUGCAAAAGGCCUUUGUGAUGUCACUGCCACACCCCUCCCUUCCUGUGCCAAUGUCCUGCCCCUGGCCAGGCACUUUGGAGGUUUGAGCUACUCCCUGUGGAUCACCCCACUCAAGGAGUGUUCGUUCUAGGAAGCAAGCCGGCUAGACAGGAAAACAUCAGACGCUGCUCCCAAUGCUACACUCAGUUUUUCAGAAAUUAGUCGACUUUAUGGCCAGAAGAGACCAUUAGAGCAUCUGAUCUGACCCCCUGCAUAUCACAGACCUCCUGUAUGACACAAGAGCUACUUUUGGGGCUUACACAUUCCAGAAAGGCAUCUAGUCUUCAUUGAAUGACAUCAGGAGAUGCUGAAUCCACCACUUUCCUUGGUAGCUUGUUCCUGUGGUGAAUCAUCCUCACUGUUGAUUAUUUGGGGCUUAGCUGUAACAUGAAUUUGUCUCUUUUUACCUUCCAAUCAUUGGGUCUUGUUAUGUCUUUCUCUGCUCGAUUAAAGAGCCCUUUAACACCCAAUCUUUUUUCUCCAUUAAGGCACUUCAAUACUUCAAUGAAAUCACCUUUCAAUCUUCUUUUGAGAAGCUAAAAAGGUUGAGCUCUUUCACUAGAAGGCAUUUUUCUCCAGCCCUCAGAACAUUUGGUGGCUCUUUGCUCCUUCAGCUCCAAUUUCACAAGAUCUGUUUCAAAUGAGGACACCAAAACUGGAGGCAGCAUUCCAGUAUCAGUCUCACUGACGCCGUGUCACCUCCUGUUACGUUAUUGACAUAAUCUGUAACUGUAUAGAUCACUGUUGCAGCCACGGUUCUAUAUUUGCAACCAAAAUUGUAGAAAGGUUGUUGUGUAAGGGGUCUAUGGAGAGGUUUUGAUUGGUUGAUUAUAAUGAUGCUAUCUCUAGAUGUGUAUCAUUUUUGUAGUUGACGUCAUGAAUAUUGGCUCUUUGCUGUCCCUAUUUCAAACUUGUGCUCUGCUUCCGGGGAACACCCCAGCCAGACAAGUUGGUGUCAGUUCUGCCUAUCCUGCCUGAUGGCCCAUUAAGGACCUUCAGCUAUACAAUCGACCCAUUGAGAGAAGGCAGAUACGCCUUGUGACUCAGCAAGGUAUGCAGGGACCUGCCUAUGGACAGAACUCUAAGGUUUUUCUAUGCCAAGUGCUGGAUAGAGUGUCCUUGGGACAAAGAAAGCAAAGACCACAUGGCAAGAGACUAUAAAAGGCUGAUGCCUCGUCUCCAUCUUGUCUUCAAUCCUGCUUCAUACCUCUGGAGGGACAUUGCUACAAACUGAAUUUCUAUACAAAGGACUGAAUGACCCAUCUCAGCUGUGGAUGGACUCUAGAGACUUGAUUUGAACCUGCAGUUUAUUCCAUCACUGCUACAAGCCUGAACCAAGAACUUUGCCAUUACUGUAUGUGAAGGGUUAAAAUUCAUGUGCAUUUUGUAUAACAACCUGGUCUAUGGAUUGUGCCAGCUCUUUUCCAGACCAAAGUCCAGAGUAGGGUCAAGGGACGAGAAGCCUAGCAAAUAGUGACCAGCUAAAAGAAAGCUGGGUUAACAGAAAGCCUUGUUUGCUAAGAUAGGCUUGAUCAGCAAAUUGCCAGGUGUUGGAGCUAAGAACUAAAUCAUUGUGUCUUAUUCAGAGUUGCAGAUUGAACAAAGAAUCCCUGUU